CUAUGCCUGGCAAGUAGCGAAUAUCCAGAGUAUAACUAUUAAUUAGAUGAAUGAAUAAUAAAAGAGACUAAUUACUCACAGACCCAUACUUUUGCUGGAGCCUGCCACCAUACUAUGGACCUUUUGGUUCAUUCCUUGCUUUGAGGAUAAAUGCCUCAGUGGACAGAGGGUAGCUUAAGUAACAGAAUUUAGUGCUAGCUUCUCAACCUGUAGUCUUGAUAGAAAUUCAGUUUGAGUGUUUCAUUAUUGGAACAUAUGACAUAUAAGAUAUAUCUUCUUCAGAUUUAUCAUCUAAUUCAAAAUAUCUUUUUGUUUUGGUAAAGUCCAACAAUAAACAGAUGUGACUGGCCUUACGGAUUAAACUACCUUUUGCCUACUUAGGUAGGUGUCAUGGUAUGUAUUUAGGCUAGGAUUAUAGAGAUUUAAGCAAGAAUAAAUGGGCUUAAACUGAGUGAAAGAAUUUUAUUAACUACAGCAAGCUUCCCUGAUUAUCAUAGUGAUUUAAAAACUGCAAACUGCACAGUAACAGUUGUUUCCUAACGAGUCCUCAGCAUGUGCCAGACAUGGUGGGAAGAGGCUUAUAUCUCACGUAAUACUCGUGACAGCCACAUGAAGGAAUUCAAAUGUGAACUCCCAUUCACAUCUAACAGAUGAGGAGCCAAGGCUCAAAGAAUGGUAUGAAACUUGUCCAUGGCCAAGGUCUGGGACCUGGCAGAGCUGGAAUUUACAAUCUGAUGCUCUUGACUGCAAAUUUUGUCGUCCUGACCUCUGUGCAUUUCUGUUUAUGCUAUUACUGAGAGAGAACAAAACCUGUCUACUCUCAAAGAACAACUCAACAAAAUAAAUAGAAUUGACCUGGAA
rnacentral:lncRNA from 10 species